rnacentral:rRNA from 1 species
UUUUGGACAAUGGGGGAAACCCUGAUCCAGCAAUCCCGCGUGUAUGAUGAAGGCCNUCNNGUUGUNANGUACUUUUGGCAGAGNNNNNAAGGUACCUCCACAUACGAGGUACUACUGACGGUAUCUGCAUAAUAAGCACCGGCUAACUACGUGACAGCAGCCGCGGUAAUACGUAGGGUGCAAGCGUUAAUCGGAAUUACUGGGCGUAAAGCGUGUGUAGGCGGUUCGGAAAGAAAGAUGUGAAAUCCCAGGGCUCAACCUUGGAACUGCAUUUUUAACUGCCGAGCUAGAGUAUGUCAGAGGGGGGUAGAAUUCCACGUGUAGCAGUGAAAUGCGUAGAUAUGUGGAGGAAUACCGAUGGCGAAGGCAGCCCCCUGGGAUAAUACUGACGCUCAGACACGAAAGCGUGGGGAGCAAACA